AUCUAAGUAUAAACUAUUAUAGUAUGACUUAAGGCGUGAAAGUAGUAUACCUUGACCUCUUGAUUUUUAUUAUUCGAGCAUCUUCGGUAGAAUGCUCAUCUAAGUAUAAACUAUUAUAGUAUGACUUAAGGCGUGAAAGUAGUAUACCUUGACCUCUUGCGUUAUCAUCUAACAAAUUAGUCUCCAAGAGAUCCAUGCAAAUUGAAUU
rnacentral:lncRNA from 1 species